rnacentral:rRNA from 1 species
CCUACGGGUGGCAGCAGUGGGGAAUAUUGGGCAAUGGGCGCAAGCCUGACCCAGCAACGCCGCGUGAAGGAAGAAGGCUUUCGGGUUGUAAACUUCUUUUCUCAGGGACGAAGCAAGUGACGGUACCUGAGGAAUAAGCCACGGCUAACUACGUGCCAGCAGCCGCGGUAAUACGUCGGUGGCAAGCGUUAUCCGGAUUUACUGGGUGUACAGGGCGUGUAGGCGGGACUGCAAGUCAGAUGUGAAAACCAGGGGCUCAACCUCUGGCCUGCAUUUGAAACUGUAGUUCUUGAGUACGGGAGAGGCAGGCGGAAUGCCUAGUGUAGCGGUGAAAUGCGUAGAUAUUAGGCGGAACCCC